UCAGUCCAGAGGGCCAGGCCGGCCACCCACCUGCCUCCAGGGGACAGGGUGUGGGGGAGCCGCUGACCACAGCUGCCCAGGAGCCCUGCCUCGGACCGAGUCCUCAUGAGAAUGCUGACAGAGCAGGGACCCUCACCCGCAGGGGAGCAGGGCUCUAGCAAGUGGAGUAUUUUGGAUUUAGCCUCCUGGAGGUACUGAACUUCUUGCUAAACUUUAUGGCCCCCUACAUCUCGCCUACAUUUUUCUAAGGACCGAGUUUUUUCUGGUCUGAUCAUGAAAAUAUAAGAGGUCUUUUGUAAAAAUGUAAGAUAAAUCGGGGCAGUAAAGAAAAUAAAUAUCACCUGUCGCCCUUACUGCACAGAAAUAACAACUGCUCUGAAACGUGGUGAAUAAUAACGCGGGUCUUUUUACACACACGAGGUUUUGGCAGCAUGCUGCUUUUCUCAUUUACUAUUUUAUAUUUCACGAAUCCUUUCCUGUUAAGUACUUUUUAAAGACACCACCGAAGUGUCUUCGUUCGGAGCACACAGAGGUCUUUCGGCUCGGGCCCUGCAGGCCCUGGCGGCGCCGCCGGAAAGCCCGUCUUCUCCGGGGAUGUGAGGGGCGCGGGCCGAGGCUGACGUGGCGGGAGAGCCCCAGCGCGCGGCCGCGUGCACUGUAAACAGUUAAUAGCCCAUCUCUCGCUCUGAGGAGCUCCUCCCCGCGAUGAUGCAGGGUGGAAUAAAAACCCUGAUUAGUUUAGAUCUUCCCCGAGCCCCGGGAGGCGCCCGGGACGCCCUCGCGCGCGCAGGCUCUCGCGGCUGCGGGGCCUCCAGCUCUGGCGCCGCAGAUCCGGCGUCUCGGACGGGAAGCCGCGUCUCCUCUCACUCCCGCGGAGACGAACCCGCUUCCUGCUCGCACGCACACCCGUGGGCUGCUUUCCUUUAGGAGGACGAAGCGGAACAGGUCGGGUUGUCACGGGAAGAAAAUGGAUCUGGACUAAUUCAUGGCACGUGGACACCCACGCGUCCAGAGGGACCGCAGGUCAGAGGUCAGAGGGCUCUGUGUUAUGCAUGAAGCCUGGCCCCUCGCACCGAUGAAUAAGUGUGAGCGAUUUGCUUCCGAAGCCAGCAGGGGAUUCCGAACGGUGGCCAGAUUCCUGCUCUAGAAAAUCAAAAGGAUGCUUCGCAGAGAGCUAAAGAAGAUGGUGGAGGAGUAAGACGGGGAGAUCGCUUGCCUUCUCACAAACACAUCAAAAACUCAUCAAAACAUGAAACAGCUCCUACAGAGCAGCUUCUACACAACAGCAGAAGACCCCGGGCUUCUAAAAAGAAGCAGCAGCAUGUGGGACUCUCAGGCCCUCCCCGGUACCAGCUACACGAACGACCGGGUUCCUGAAUCGACUCUGGAUGAGUUUUCCUCUUCUGCGAACUGGAGAUGAUAGUAACACGUCCAUCAUAGGGUUGUUGGAGAGAUCAGAUGAGAUAAUUUACAAAGGAGCUCUUUUACAGUCAUGGGGUUCUAUUCUGAUCCAAGCAUCUUCGAUGGGGCUCACGCGGCCGUGAGACAGACAGAAGCAAGCAAGGAAGCGGGAACAGACGCCCAGAUGGGAAGUGCCGUGGGGAAAACUGGGAACAGACGCCCAGAUGGGAAGUGCCGUGGGGAAAACUGGGAACAGACGCCCAGAUGGGAAGUGCCGUGGAGGAAAACUGGGAACAGACGCCCAGAUGGGAAGCGCCGUGGAGAAAACUGGGUAGGGGGGUGGUGCUCAAGAGGGGCGAAGAUGCUUCAGAUGGGGGCUCAGAGACCCAGUGACUGUUAGUUAUCAUGACGGCACUGAUAGGGAGUCACGACCGCCUGAUGUGACCGCUGGGCAGGUCCGAGAGAAGAAACUGACCCACGUACCCAGACUUUUUGUCUGUUUCCAUCCUCGACUCCAAGACUGCCGGCAGCCUCGUGCACAGGCUGGGACUUCAGAACACCUGCGAGGUGACUUCUGUCCGAAUGAGAGAAGCCGAGGUGGGUACAAUGACUCCCCACUUUUCCGGAGCUGCGUGCUGUGCCUGGGUCGCCUUAAGCACGGGCAGUGCCUUCACGGUGACACAGAGAGGCUCGCUGCCUCUGCACCAGCUUGCCGUCGAGAGGACUGGCAGCCCCUUAAAACUCCUAGAAGGACCUGCCUGGUGGUCCAGCGCUUAACGAUUCGCCUUCCGACAGGGAACUCUGCUCAGUGGCACGUGGCAGCCCGGAUGGGAGGGGAAUUUGGGGAGAAUGGAUCCAUGUGUAUGUAUGAAUCCCUUCACUGUUCACCUGAAACUAUCAUAAGAUUGU
ensembl:lncRNA